CACGUAGGGGGCGAGCGUUGUCCGGAAUCAUUGGGCGUAAAGAGCUCGUAGGCGGCUCAGUAAGUCGGGUGUGAAACCCCCAGGCUCAACCUGGGGACGCCACUCGAUACUGCUGUGGCUAGAGUCCAGUAGAGGAGUGUGGAAUUCCCGGUGUAGCGGUGAAAUGCGCAGAUAUCGGGAGGAACACCAACGGCGAAGGCAGCACCCUGGGCUGGAACUGACGCUGAGGAGCGAAAGCGUGGGUAGCAAACAGG
rnacentral:rRNA from 1 species